UUUGGCGGGAUGCUUUACCAUGCAGUCGAACGAUGAACCUUAGCUUGCUAAGGGGAUUAGUGGCGAACGGGUGAGUAAUAUAUCGGAACGUGCCUUGUAAUGGGGGAUAACUAGUCGAAAGAUUAGCUAAUACCGCAUACGCCCUGAGGGGGAAAGUAGGGGAUCUUCGGACCUUACGUUAUAAGAGCGGCCGAUAUCUGAUUAGCUAGUUGGUGGGGUAAUGGCCUACCAAGGCUUCGAUCAGUAGCUGGUCUGAGAGGACGACCAGCCACACUGGAACUGAGACACGGUCCAGACUCCUACGGGAGGCAGCAGUGGGGAAUUUUGGACAAUGGGCGCAAGCCUGAUCCAGCCAUUCCGCGUGAGUGAAGAAGGCCUUCGGGUUGUAAAGCUCUUUCGCAAGGGAAGAAAACUUACACAAUAACACUGUGUGAGGCUGACGGUACCUUGAUAAGAAGCACCGGCUAACUACGUGCCAGCAGCCGCGGUAAUACGUAGGGUGCGAGCGUUAAUCGGAAUUACUGGGCGUAAAGCGUGCGCAGGCGGUUUGGCAAGUCAGAUGUGAAAUCCCCGAGCUCAACUUGGGAACUGCGUUUGAAACUGCCAGACUAGAAUAUGUCAGAGGGGGGUAGAAUUCCACGUGUAGCAGUGAAAUGCGUAGAGAUGUGGAGGAAUACCAAUGGCGAAGGCAGCCCCCUGGGAUAAUAUUGACGCUCAUGCACGAAAGCGUGGGGAGCAAACAGGAUUAGAUACCCUGGUAGUCCACGCCCUAAACGAUGUCUACUAGUUGUUGGUGGAGUAAAAUCCAUGAGUAACGCAGCUAACGCGUGAAGUAGACCGCCUGGGGGAGUACGGUCGCAAGAUUAAAACUCAAAGGAAUUGACGGGGGCCCGCACAAGCGGUGGAUUAUGUGGAUUAAUUCGAUGCAACGCGAAAAACCUUACCUGGUCUUGACAUGCCACUAACGAAGCAGAGAUGCAUUAGGGC
rnacentral:rRNA from 1 species